UCUAUACUUGCUGUUGACUCCAGGUUGAAGAUUCAUCAAGAUGUUUCCUUUGUGGUUGAUUACUGUUGCUAUUGUGGUUGCUUCCAUGUUGCCAAGCUUUGCUGCGACGGGAGUAUGUAACGUGACCGAGUGUAGGAAUAGAAGAGGAAAGUGUAUCGUAUUUACAUGUAAGACCGAUGGUAACGAUUGUGGAAGUAAAGGAUGUGAUGCACUAAACGAAGUUUGUGUUAAUGAUAUUUGUGUAAACAGAAGUGAAACUUGUGGUCACAUAGAUGGCAUAUUAAAUCUGUGUCCUUAUCAGGGUGUAAAAUGUGGGAAAGGAUUCUGUCCUGGUAAUUUUGGUUUAGAUAGUAAAUGUGUAAAAAAAAAGUGCAGGACUAAAUUUCGCUGUGUUGGGCAGAGUGAUGACACUCCCUGCAUGUCACUGAGUAUUAGUGGCACUUGUUCGGGUGGUGUUUGUCUCGAAAAUUGUGAUGAAGACAGUGAAUGCCGUGGUUUUGCAUGUGUUGGUGGAUUCUGUGCAG